AGUGAACGCUGGCGGUAGGCCUAACACAUGCAAGUCGAACGGCAGCACAGUAAGAGCUUGCUCUUACGGGUGGCGAGUGGCGGACGGGUGAGGAAUACAUCGGAAUCUACUUUUUCGUGGGGGAUAACGUAGGGAAACUUACGCUAAUACCGCAUACGACCUACGGGUGAAAGCAGGGGAUCUUCGGACCUUGCGCGAUUGAAUGAGCCGAUUUCGGAUUAGCUAGUUGGCGGGGUAAAGGCCCACCAAGGCGACGAUCCGUAGCUGGUCUGAGAGGAUGAUCAGCCACACUGGAACUGAGACACGGUCCAGACUCCUACGGGAGGCAGCAGUGGGGAAUAUUGGACAAUGGGCGCAAGCCUGAUCCAGCCAUACCGCGUGGGUGAAGAAGGCCUUCGGGUUGUAAAGCCCUUUUGUUGGGAAAGAAAAGCAGCAGGUUAAUGCCUCGCUGUUCUGACGGUACCCAAAGAAUAAGCACCGGCUAACUUCGUG
rnacentral:rRNA from 1 species